CCUACGGGGGGCAGCAGUGGGGAAUAUUGGACAAUGGGGGGAACCCUGAUCCAGCCAUGCCGCGUGUGUGAAGAAGGCCCUCGGGUUGUAAAGCACUUUCAGUGAGGAAGAACGCCUGGUGGUUAAUACCCAUCAGGAAAGACAUCACUCACAGAAGAAGCACCGGCUAACUCCGUGCCAGCAGCCGCGGUAAUACGGAGGGUGCGAGCGUUAAUCGGAAUUACUGGGCGUAAAGCGCGCGUAGGUGGCUUGAUAAGCCGGUUGUGAAAGCCCCGGGCUCAACCUGGGAACGGCAUCCGGAACUGUCAAGCUAGAGUGCAGGAGAGGAAGGUAGAAUUCCCGGUGUAGCGGUGAAAUGCGUAGAGAUCGGGAGGAAUACCAGUGGCGAAGGCGGACUUCUGGACUGACACUGACACUGAGGUGCGAAAGCGUGGGUAGCAAACAGGAUUAGAUACCCUGGUAGUC
rnacentral:rRNA from 1 species